CCACACGAUAAUAAAAACAGAUCUCGGGGUGUUAUCUUUCACAUUCAUUUGCAAACAGGACAAGGACAGUCUUAAGGAAAGCUGAGGAAAGCUGUUCUCAGAGACGAGACUAUUCCUCCACAGACUAGUGUUGUGUUUGUACUAAACCCAGAGCAGCCCUGAAUGAAUCGACAGAAUGACCAGCUCAUAUAAUAAUACUAUAGACUGCAUUUAAGAAGCUUUGCACAGGCUGUUUAAUGCUGAUAAUGUACUGCGUGUGUCUUUACACAAAAA